CUAUCUUCUUGCAAUUGAAAAGGUCCAAAGGGAUCUCUCCAAUCAAUUGGUUUCCAAGUCCUCUCUUGAAACAGAAUCAUUUUCUACAAAAAUCACCAUCUAGGCGAUCGUUGGGCAUUAUGUCAAAAUUUCCAUCACAAAUGAAUUUCUUGGUAGCACCAUUAGUAGUCUUAGCAGUCAAGCUCACUGAAUCAAGUCCUUCACUAGCUUAUUCAAGUGCUC
rnacentral:lncRNA from 1 species